rnacentral:rRNA from 1 species
UUGCUAACGCGUGAAGGCGAGCACUCUAGACGAACUGCCGUUGACAAACGGAGGAAGUGGGGAUGACGUCAAAUCAUCAUGCCCCUUAUGUUCUGGGCUACACACGUGCUACAAUGGCCGGUACAGACGGACGCAAAGCCGCGAGGUGGAGCAAAUCCUAAAAAGCCGGUCUCAGUUCGGAUUGCAGGCUGCAAUUCGCCUGCAUGAAGUCGGAAUCGCUAGUAAUCGCAGGUCAGCAUACUGCGGUCGAAUACGUUCCCGGGCCUU